GGAAGUCAAAGUCAUCAUCCUUUUUUUUUUUUUUCUUAGUAACCAUACAGAAAAAUUCAUAGAGUGGAAACCACUACUUCUCAAGCUCAAGUUCUUUUACUCUUUCGAUCCUUUCAAGUUUCGACAACUCGGGCUAUCACUUCUGCUAUCACGACGCAAAGUUUCAGGCCAUCUGCUCCUCGAACGAGGCAUGAACAAUAUCUCCACAAGCUGUAGAAAACUACAUCUUCCAGCUUGAAAUACUUCUAAAAUAACGCCAUUAUAUAUAGGCAGGAAACAGCUGAAAAAGUUGCAGACAAAUAGGCACAUGAGGAUGUAUUCAAUGCCAGCUCUCUCUUCAUACAUAUACCCUGAACCAGGCAAAAUGUGACUUCUCUUGGUUUACUUUCCUGAUUUGCCACUUCGUGUUUUUGUAAAAAUCAAAAUGAAAAUGUCAUUGCACAUGAUAAAAAGUAUAUUUGAGAAUCCAAGAAAAUUUUCAUCAAGCAUUUCCAUAGAAUUCAACCAUGGGGAAAGAGAAAGAGAAGAAACCCACAACUUGGGGAUAGUUAAUGCAUAUCAUUAGGCAUCAAUUAGUUGGUUACAUGUUUAGAAACUAGCACUUGGAAGCUGGCAUGUGAUAUCUUGGUCCAUAAGAAAUUGCCGGAAUUCUAGAACCAUUCUCUACAAGUUGCAGAAGAAAACAAUAGCAAAAGGCAAAGACCAAUGUGAAAAACAUUUCACAAUAAGCACAGCCUUCGGCAAUUACCCUGUUUACACUAUGUGUUGGGGCAACCAUUAGGUGAACGUUUAGCUCAUCAAGGGCUAACAUUGGAAAUGGCUCCUCAAUAAGAACACCAACCUGCGACAUGAAAGAAACUUUUAAAGAUCAAAGACGCGCACAAAAAAAAAAAAAAAAAAAAACAUAGUCUGAUAUUAUGGGGUUAACUCUGGAAAAAAGAUGCAUACUUCUUCUAUGCAGAACAAGGAAGCAGCACUGAUGAAAGUAGCAGGAACAACAAUCCAAUGGCAAUCAUCCCAGAGUAUGAUAGGAAGAGUGAGAUGCCAUAGGACCAAAAACCUUGAUGUCAACCGAGUGUAUGAUAGAGGGAUAGGAAUCCCCAUGAGUUGUUCACAUACACCAAUUCCUUCAUGGAAACAUGAGAUCUUUGACUCCUGGAAUGAAAUGAGAUCAUAAGACUACUGCAAUCUAAUGAAGAAAGAGAUGGAUAUUUUUUUUUUCAAAUUUUUAUCGGUGAAAUCAAAAGAUCAAAUGGUCCAAGAGGGGAGAUACCAACGUAGUUCUCUUUGAUUCUUCCAAGUUCAGCAGAUGAAGGCUUUGAGAAAUGAACUCGAUUAUGCAGCGUGGCCGAUGCUUUGAGUUCAGUAUCACCGCUAAAUCAUCUACUUCAAGCAAAUUUUGAAGAUCUCUGCCAAUAUCCGAGCCAUACAUGACAUGACACUGCAAAAAAGCCAUUAACCAUUGAUCACUACCUACCUUCAUACAAUACGUUCAAUUUUCUAAAUCACACUCACCUUAAGUGCAACAGGAAAAGCCAUAAUAUAUUGCAAGAGAGCAGCUUUUAUGGACUGAUCAUCAGCCGAAUUGUCGACCCCAGCAAUUACCUGCCUAGCGAAAUCAUUUGUACCAGCAAUUACCUUAGUCCAUGCCUUCCUUCCCUCUUCAUACCUUGAAUAGGAGGCCUCGGUUCUAAAAACCAACAGCAAAGCCAAUGCAGGCGCUGUCAACUGAUAAGGCAACGAAGAAGCUCUCAGAACUGGGAAAAAGCCAGGGAACCAAUGCAAAUCCACGGCAGUGUUGUACAAGGCAACGACAGUAGCUACUGAAGUGAAGGCUAAAACAGGUGGAACCAGUGAUAAGAUGACACGCGACUGUAAACUGGAAAGUAGAUGUCGAAGGUGACGUAGUGAACUUCUAUGAUGAACCCAUUUCUCGUGGUUGUAAAGAGCGCGAUUUUGUUGCAUUCCACGCUCUUGAAUACGAUCAGCCCAGUCUGGGAUAGCACGGAGGAGGGUGAUAAGAUUAAAGGUUUUAGGGGCGGUGGUGGGCUUGGAGCUUGGCGGCGGCGGUUGGGAAGCAGAGAAAAGGAUUUUGAAAGAAGGUGGUCGCUUGAAUUUGGCAGGAAGUGAGGAGUUGAAGUGAAAGUGGAGGAAGGGUUUGGAGGUAAAGCUGGGAGAGAGGGAGAGCUUUGGAGAGUUGGGGGAUUGAGCCAUUAUGAGUCAGGGUUCGGACAUGUUAUUAUGUUGUUAGGGCUUCCAAAGGAGAAAAAAGUGUGAAAAAAAUGAAGAGAGGUGCCAACUGCCAACCAAGGAGUAGGUAAGUUUAAGACAGAAGUGGGUGUUGUUUCAAUGUUUGUGAAGGACAUCGAUACACAUGUUCAGGAUUUUAUUUGGAUAAAUCCUUAACAGUAAACACUUCUUUAAGAAUUUGUGUCGUGUCACGGCUCUUGUGGAUAUUCGCCUAAACAACGUAAGUAACUCAGAAUUUUUACUUACCUGCUAUGAAAGAUAAUACAUGUUUCAAUUGCUAAAAUUAUUAUAAAUAUUAGCAGUGAACAUUAAGAAAA